rnacentral:lncRNA from 1 species
UUCAUCUCGUACAGCUCAAGCAAAAACACCCAAGUAAAAACAAAUCAAAUAGCUAGUAGGAUAUGUAAUAAAAAGUUUGAAACUUCUUAAUCUACGAUUGAAUCUUCUCCAAAUGUACGAAAGAAGAGAAAAAUCCCAAAGCUCUUGUUUGUGGUGAUAAUACCAAAAUAUCCAGUUGGCUCAAUCGUCUUUAUGUUGAUCCUUACAGGCCUCUUGAAUUAUCUCUUUACCUAUUUUUAA